GACGAACGCUGGCGGCGUGCCUAAUACAUGCAAGUCGAACGCACAGUUUAUACCGUAGCUUGCUACACCAUAGACUGUGAGUUGCGAACGGGUGAGUAACGCGUAGGUAACCUGCCUGGUAGCGGGGGAUAACUAUUGGAAACGAUAGCUAAUACCGCAUAAUAUUGAUUAUUGCAUGAUAAUUGAUUGAAAGAUGCUAUUGCAUCACUACCAGAUGGACCUGCGUUGUAUUAGCUAGUAGGUGAGGUAACGGCUCACCUAGGCGACGAUACAUAGCCGACCUGAGAGGGUGAUCGGCCACACUGGGACUGAGACACGGCCCAGACUCCUACGGGAGGCAGCAGUAGGGAAUCUUCGGCAAUGGACGAAAGUCUGACCGAGCAACGCCGCGUGAGUGAAGAAGGGUUUCGGAUCGUAAAGCUCUGUUGUAAGAGAAGAACGGGUGUGAGAGUGGAAAGUUCACACUGUGACGGUAUCUUACCAGAAAGGGACGGCUAACUACGUG
rnacentral:rRNA from 1 species